rnacentral:rRNA from 1 species
ACGAAGGUCCCAAGCGUUAUCCGGAUUUAUUGGGUUUAAAGGGUGCGUAGGCGGGCUAUUAAGUCAGUGGUGAAAGCCCCAAGCUUAACUUGGGAACUGCCAUUGAUACUGAUGGUCUUGAGUACAUUUGAGGUGGGCGGAAUGUGUCAUGUAGCGGUGAAAUGCUUAGAUAUGACACAGAACACCGAUUGCGAAGGCAGCUCACUAAACUGUAACUGACGCUGAGGCACGAAAGCGUGGGGAGCAAACAGGA